CUCUUGGCUCCUCAUAACUUUCUUAAUUUCUCAUGGUUAUCAAGCUGAUUUGAUUUAUCUAGUAAUUAAUGAACAUAAGUAAUUGUGUUCCCUUGGCAUCUUUAACAAAUGGAAUCACCUUAGAACAGCAAUCUCAGAGCAGAGGAUUUUCUGUGUUUCUGUUUCCAGAAAUGGAAUGGAAAAGGAAAGAAAUAAAAUGUUGCAAAUUCAAAAGGAUGCAGAGAAUAGAGGAGAGCUCAGAAGACAUAACAUCUUAACAUCUUUUAGAAAACAAAAAACAGAUGGAAGGAUAGUACCUGACUUAGAACAGAGGAAGCUAUAUGCUAAGAGUCACACAGAGAAGAAUUCUAAAGAGAAGAUAGUCCAUUUUCCGCAGAACCCUGUGGAAGAAAAGGACUAGGAAGCACCAACUCACCUGGCUUAAGAUACAUAAUUUUAGGUUUAGAAAAACAGAUCUUAACAAGAGAGAUGGAGAACAUUGGAGAUACACAAAAAUAGUGUUUUUUCCCCCUCUUAAUUUCUUUAAAAUAUAUACAAUAGCUUAAAUCAGUUUUCCAACCUUUGUUUUCCUUAUUGCCCCUUUGAAGUCUAUUUAGACACCUUUUGCCUAGCCAUUCCCUCAACUCCUGCAAUAAAAUUUUAAAACUUGACAUAUAUGGCACACCUGUUUAUAUGUUGUACAUAUAUCUGCUUUAUGUACAAAAACAACAAUCUAAAGUUUAUUCUUUUUGUUUAGUAUAGUGUUUAGAAUGACUAAAUUUUUAACUUAAAAGUUACGUUAAAAAAUUUAAAAGCGACGUCAUGUAACCUAACUUUAUAACUGCAUAACUGCAUGCUUGCUAAGUUGCUGCCCUCAGGUCCGACUCUGCAACCAUAUGAACUGUAGCUCUGCAGGCUCCUCUGUCCAUAGGAUUCUUCAGGCAAGAAUACUGGAGUGGGUGGCAGUGCUCUCCUCCAGGGGAUCUUCCCAACCCAGGGAUCAAUCCUGGGUCUCUCCAACUCGAUGGACAUGAGUUUGAGCAGGCUCCCGGAGUUGGUGACGGACAGGGAAACCUGGCAUGCUGCAGUCCAUGGGAUCACAAACAGCUGGACACGACUCAGCGACUGAAUUGAACUGAAUUUCCAUCUCCUACAUUGGCAGACAGGUUGUUUACCACUAGCACCACCUGGGAAACCCAUGACUGCAUAAUUAUUGCUAAGUAAAUUUUAAUGUAAUUUAUUUAGUUCUGAAAGUUGUAAAAAAAAUAUAAUAGUAAAUUAGCAAAGUAUAAAAUAC
rnacentral:lncRNA from 1 species